UAAAAGCGAAAGGACCAACACACGCGCGCUCCGCUCGCAGAGCAACCGAGGAAAACUCCUGAUGCAAAAUGGAAACUGUGUCAACGGGACCUGAGCCCUAGGACUAUGCCUCAGGACUACCUGGCAUGAUGACUCCUUGCUGUCCCCAGUCCACCUGGCCGUGCUGCUGCUCCAGUUUCAAAUGUUCUGCCUGCGGCUAUGGAACCCUGACCUGUUCACCGGACGUGCUACCUGUUCCAGACCUACUGUUUUCAACUCUCUAGAGACAGCAGGAGCGGUAGACAUACUCAAUGAUCAGCUAUGAAAAGCCAACUGACAUAUACUCCUGAGGUGCUGACCUGUUGCACCCUCGACAACUACUGUGAUUAUUAUUAUUUGACCAUGUUGGUCAUUUAUGAACAUUUGAACAUCUUGGCCAUGUUCUGUUAUAAUCUCCACCCGGCACAGCCAAAAGAGGACUGGCCACCCCUCAUAGCCUGGUUCCUCUCUAGGUUUCUUCCUAGGUUUUGGCCUUUCUAGAAUUUUUCCUAGCCACCGUGCUUCUACACCUGCAUUGUUUGCUGUUUGGGGUUUUAGGCUGGGUUUCUGUACAGCACUUUGUGGCAUCAGCUGUUGUAAGAAGGUCUUUAUAAAUACAUUUGAUUUUAAUCCAAUCACUAAACAAGCCUAUCUGAACCAUAGAUAUUCUAGAGUGUGUAGGUCUGAGUUCUGAUUCUAUCUCUAUGGCCAGAACUGUGGAACAUGGUAACUAUGGGACACCAAGGCCAUUUAAUUCUGUUGAAAACAAUAGUCAUAGCCCAGGUGGGUUGUUGUUAAAAGUGAGAUAGAGAGGUUUAGACUAUUGAAAGUGUGUGCGUGCGUUUGUGUUUGAGUUUGUUGAAGGCCAAAUAGGAAUUUCAAAGUAAAAGCUUUCCUCCACUGUCUACA